rnacentral:rRNA from 1 species
UACGAAGGGGGCUAGCGUUGCUCGGAAUUACUGGGCGUAAAGCGCACGUAGGCGGAUUGUUAAGUCGGGGGUGAAAUCCUGGAGCUCAACUCCAGAACUGCCUUCGAUACUGGCGAUCUCGAGUUCGGGAGAGGUGAGUGGAACUGCGAGUGUAGAGGUGAAAUUCGUAGAUAUUCGCAAGAACACCAGUGGCGAAGGCGGCUCACUGGCCCGAUAC